GUGCAUAUCCAUUAGAGAGUCUCCUGGGUUCAAUUCCCCGAGGCAAAUUAAAUCCAUUUUCAUAGACUGACUUUAACAGACGUUCAAAGGCUGUCAGAGAAGCGCCCCACAUGGGAUGUUGCAGAUUGUUGCAUGUUCCAUCAUGUGUCCUGUACUUCUGGUGAAAGCACAUAUCUGAGCAAUUGUUCACUCGUCGAUGAGCUGUACAGCCCGAGAGAUUAGCUAUCAAAUUCAAGUACUGUGGGGAUACGAGGUCAUUAUAGUGAUAACUUGUUCCAUUCAGGUCAACCAUUAGACCAUCCUGUACAUGAUCUUGAAUAAGCUGUAAUGUUCUUUCAAAUAUUUCCCCAGCUCUUGCUUGCUCGACAGUGUAUGGAUCCCUUGGGUAUCGAAAUAAGGCUAGCAAAUCAUUUGGAGAACGAGGACGACUGUCAAACAGAUGCGUACGUGUUGAAUUUAUUGCUCUGUCAACAGUUGCAAUUGCUUCCACAAUUGAUGUUUGUACAAAAGGAUCUCCAUUUCGGCUGACAUUAGGGACAUUAACGCUAAGUACCAUACUAACAGAGGAGUAUCCUAUGGUAUUCCUGGCAACACAUUCAUAUCGACCUUCAUCAGCAGUUCCAACAUCACGAAUGGUAAGGUAUCCCUCUGGACUAACAUGAAAUUUUCCACUCUCAGUUACCUGUACUCCAUCCUUAUUCCAUGUAAUUACUGGCUCUGGCUCUCCUUGAGCGCUGCAUGGGAUCUGCACGUUUGUGCCAACUUCAACCGUCAUGUCACUAGGAACACUGGCAAAUACAGGAGUCACUCUAGGCUGUACAGUCAGGUACACAACAAUCCUUUGAGAUCCAAUGAUGUUGACAGCUUGGCAUUCAUACUGUCCUUGGUCAUGCAGGGCAACUCUGGAGAUUCUCAGAGUACCAGAAGAUAGGACUAAAUGUCUUCUGUCAACAGACAACUGGC
rnacentral:lncRNA from 1 species